UACAGAGGGUGCAAGCGUUGUUCGGAAUUAUUGGGCGUAAAGCGCGUGUAGGCGGCUUUGCAAGUCGGGUGUGAAAGCCCCCGGCUCAACUGGGGAGGGUCACGCGAUACUGUUCGACUCGAAGGCAGGAGAGGGAAGUGGAAUUCCCGGUGUAGUGGUGAAAUGCGUAGAUAUCGGGAGGAACACCAGUGGCGAAGGCGACUUCCUGGCCUGUUCUUGACGCUGAGGCGCGAAAGCUAGGGUAGCAAACGGG
rnacentral:rRNA from 1 species